GUGAACCUCCAGAGGUUCAGAAAACUCUUGAAUAUGUAACAAAUAUUUGAAUAUGUGGCCCAUGAUAUCAUUCUGUUGCAGCAAUACAGGUAUUUAUCUAGUCAUACAUCCCUCAUCAUGCUGGCCAACUGCAGCAUCCUGGAAUCUCCUAAGAAAUCUGAGCCACGACCAGGUCUUCUUACAGAUCCUGAGAACAUUCUUCUUCCUGAGGAACUUUCUUUCCAUUUGACAUGACCAUCUCUAUCAAACAGAGUGCAGAAAUCAUUUCUCCUUAAUGCUCCUUCUGAUCCUGUGUGCCUAAGGCUUGAUCUGAACUGAAGCAAUCAGCAGGAUGUCAGUGCUGCCCCUCUCCUGCACUCCCAUCACCCCUUAGACUGUUUUCUCUAUGCCAUGUCUUCACUUUGUUUGAAAUAUCAGUCCAGCAGUUCUGAUGCUUGUGGCAGAGCUCCCUGAGCCAGGGAUUGCAGCUGGUUGCACUUGACAUUCUGCCCUGCACUGGGCUCUUUGGCUGUUCCCUGUGGCAAAGACCUUUUUUCUAGGAAUCCUUCCUAGAAUUUCUAGGACACAAAUAUCAGAGCAUAUUGCAUAAUUACCCCUAAAUUAUUUUUUAAAUCCUGAAUACCCAGGAAAACACUUAUGUCUUUAGGAUGUUAGUUGAGAUAAGGUGGAAAGCUUCUCCUUGGUUCCAUAGCUAAAAGAUGCAAAGCCUUUACCAAGGCCUGAACACCAAGAUCGUUUUCUUGGUCAUUUCAGCAGAAUCAAUUUAUUUCAUUCUUGUCAAGGCCUAUUCCGUAAUUAUUUGGAUGAAUAUUUGUAAAGUUUGGUUCCAAUGGAUAGGUCAAUUUGAUUCAUAAGAUAGUAUUUUUAAUGCUGCUGAUUGAGUGGUUUGGCACUAUUAAAAUCUGGUGGCUUUUUAACUUAGAUAGUUGCUAUUCUGUAAUAAUAAUAGACAAUACAGGAAAAAAAAAACAACAACAUAAUUUUGUUCCUAACUUUCUUGCUGGAAUCUGGAAAAUUGCAGACUCUAAUUCAGAACAGCUGGCUCCAAAUAUGUCAAGUUUUGGUUGAUUGCAUACCAUUAAAUAAUAUUGGAAGAAAUGGCUUAUCUCAAAGAAACUAACCAAUCUGAUGCCUUAUUUGGUAAACAGUCUUAUGUCUCUGAAGGCUAGAAUUAGAUUCAGCCUUAAAAUAAAUAUUUAAGAUCCCAACAACAUUUUUAAUGAUUUUAGUUUUAGAACAUGCUCAGAGCUCUCAUGCUGAUUCUUUUGUUUAAAGAGCACUAGCUCUAGUUUCAUGCAUAAGUGCUGUGGCAUGCCUCUUCUGGUUUUUGCUAAACAAGGAAAAUAAAGAAUUGAUAGACAAUACAUUAAUAUCCAAAAAUAACUUUUUCUUGUCAUUAGAUGGGUUUUUGCAUUGACCUUUAUUAGGCAAUAUUUUUUUUAUGUUUAAAAAGCUCAAUACAUUUUAACUGAUAAAAAUCUGAUCAAGUUCAGCCUAUUGGUUUUCCUGAAUCUGUGCCAGAUGUAUGAGCUGAAUCAUUCUGGUUUGAGUUAUUCACAAAUAAAUAACUGGCAGCAGCAUUUAGAUUUAGUUGGAUGACUAAAAGAGUGAAAGUGCUUUAGAAAGACACCAAUACAUUGUUUUUCAAAGCUCUGUUUAAGGCUUGUGAAUUAUGUCACUAAACUGAGAAAAGUAUGUGUGAUACGAGGAAAGGUAGAAAAAAAAAAAGAAACUUCAAACUUUUUGGUCCUAAGCUUAGAAUAGGAAAG